rnacentral:ncRNA from 1 species
UAUAUGUUUAUGGGUUGGUAAGUGGGAUUAAAAGUUUUAUUUUUGUUUAAAAAUUAAAUUAAAUUUUAUAUUUAUAUGUAAAUUUUUGUUUAAAUUUAAAUAUUUUUUAAAUAAAAAUAUUAAGAUUUUAUUCGCAGUAAAUAAUUUUAAAAAUUAAAGAAAUUUAGAUUUAGGAAAAAUUUAUAGUAUUGACUAAAUUUGUGCCAGCAGUUGCGGUUACACAGAUAAUAUAACUUAAAUAUUUCGGAUACAGUAAAAUUUUAAUUAUAGACUUGAUUUUAAGGCUUAUUGGGUGAAAUUUUUAAGUUUUAAAGUUAGUCGUUUAUUGAUUGUGAUUCUGAUAAAUUUAUUAUUUAAACUAGGAUUAGAUACCCUAUUAUUUUGAACGUAAAUUUAUUUCUGGACCAGUAUUAGUUAUGUUCUUGAAAAUUAAAGAUUUUGGCGGUAUUUUAGUCUGUUCAGAGGAACCUGUCCUGUAAUUGAUGAUCCACGAUUCAAAUUACUUUUUCUCAGUUUUCAUAUCGUCGUAGUUUGAAAAUUUUAUUAGAAUGAGAAUUUUCAUAAUUUCUUUAAGAAAGAAAAUCAGAUCAAGGUGUAGCUAAUGAGGAAGGAGUGAUGGGUUACAUUAAGUUUACUUAAGGAGUUUAUUCUUGCGAAGAUAAAUGAAUUUGGAUUUGAUAGUAAUUUUAAUUAGAUUAUUAGAAUGAUUUUAGCUCUAAAAUAUGCACAUAUCGCCCGUCGCUUUCAUUAUAAAGUGAAAUAAGUCGUAACAAAGUAGGCUUACUGGAAAGUGUGCCUGGAACGA